rnacentral:rRNA from 1 species
UACAGAGGUCUCAAGCGUUGUUCGGAUUCAUUGGGCGUAAAGGGUGCGUAGGCGGCGCGGUAAGUCGGGUGUGAAAUCUUGGAGCUUAACUCCGAAACUGCAUUCGAUACUGCCGUGCUUGAGGACUGGAGAGGAGACUGGAAUUUACGGUGUAGCGGUGAAAUUCGUAGAUAUUCGCAAGAACACCAGUGGCGAAGGCGGCUCACUGGCCCGGUACUGACGCUGAGGUGCGAAAGCGUGGGGAGCAAACAGG